AACGGCCGCGGUAUCCUAACCGUGCGAAGGUAGCGUAAUCACUUGUUCUUUAAAUGAGGACUAGUAUGAAUGGCACCACGAGGGUUAAACUGUCUCCUUUUUUUAAUCAGUGAAACUAAUCUCCCCGUGAAGAAGCGGGGAUUCUUUUAUAAGACGAGAAGACCCUAUGGAGCUUUAAACAAGUUAACACCUGCUACUAAUCUUCACUUUCCUGAACCACCACAUUAAGUAUAGCACCUCUGAUUAACAGUUUUCGAUUGGGGUGAUCAUGGAGCAAAAAUCAACCUCCACGACGAAAAGGAACACCUCCUUGAGCCAAAAGCUACAACUUUAAGCACUAAAAAACUAACGCACUUUGACCCAAUUAUUUGAGCAACGAACCAAGUUACCCUAGGGAUAACAGCGCAAUCCACUUUAAGAGCUCCUAUCGACAAGUGGGUUUACGACCUCGAUGUUGGAUCAGGGUAUCCCAGUGGUG
rnacentral:rRNA from 1 species